ACAAGGAGGAUACCCCAGGGGGUCAGUCUCCCCAGGUUCUGUCCAAGUGGUGUAGGGGAGUAUAGGGCUCUGCAUCAUGAUGUAUAACCCCUUUCCACAUCAAUGGAGAUUAAGCUGGGCUUUCAAGUCUAUGUCUGCAUAUUUCCAUGACUUCUCAGAGUCCUAUGGUCGAUGAUUAAAGAGACACAUCAUGCAGGAGACAGUA
ensembl:snoRNA SNORA73 Small nucleolar RNA SNORA73 family